GCCAUUUUGUCCAGUGAGGAAAAGCGGAGCGGGAGUCUCAUUGCGGGUCGAGCCGGCUGCGAAAUUAGCGCGGGCUCCCUUCGCCCGCACUCCCUCUUAGCAGCGCAAUGCAUCGUGACUCUUGUCCGCUGGACUGCAAGGUUUAUGUGGGUAACCUUGGCAACAAUGGCAACAAAACGGAGUUAGAGCGAGCUUUUGGCUACUAUGGACCACUGCGCAGCGUCUGGGUGGCAAGAAAUCCUCCUGGCUUUGCCUUUGUGGAAUUUGAAGAUCCACGCGAUGCAGCUGAUGCUGUGAGAGAACUAGAUGGAAGAACCCUCUGUGGGUGUCGAGUCAGAGUGGAGCUCUCCAAUGGUGAAAAGCGGAGUCGGAACCGUGGUCCCCCUCCGUCCUGGGGCAGGCGCCCUCGAGAUGACUAUCGCAGGAGAAGUCCUCCUCCUCGCCGCAGGUACCCUGGGGUCAGAGUACCCUCAUAGAGCAGUUGGCACUGUUACCACUUAGCAUCAUAGAAGCAGGCUUUGUAAAGCAUGUUGAUGGAUAACAUUCAUCUAUCUGAUCACAAUUUGGAGAUGCCAAAUGCUAAAAAACCAAAAUGGAGGUGAACAUAAGUUGUGUUGAAUGUUGGCUUUUGUCCUUAGGUCACUGUGCAAGUUGGUAGUCAGCGCCCUCUGUCCUGGAUUUAUCCUCUUUCCUCCCCAAAUCCGCUCAUCUUCUAGCCACACUUUCCCGUUCUUCCCCAUACUUCAACUUAGGCUGUUCCUUUCCUUUAUUCCAUAAUGGCAAAACAUUACAUACGGCAACUUAGCUUUUUCAUACAGAAGUAUUUCUCCUCUUUAUUUGCACAAUUUAAAUACUCCAAGUAGGCAGCUGUUGCAAUAAUAAAUCAAGUAACAGUUGCUCUAAACAUCCAAAACCUAAGAACUCUAGCAUCAAUUUUAAAUGAAAUCAUCACGUGACAAUCCUGUCGCUUGAGAUUUGCAAACCCAGGUCUAAAAUAGAGCAGGAUUUUUGGUAACUGGCACAUUCUUGGACCCAGACUAGGUUGUCUGGCUGUUAACUGCAGCAUGGCUCUUGCAGGACUGAGUUGACCUGUUGCAGGUGAGUGAAGUCCUCACAAGUCAGGGUCUCGAGCUUACCCUUUUGCUGUUGAAAAAAUAACACAGUAGGAGUAAUUGUUAGCUAAUAGAUGGUUGUACUGAUGGCUUGUUUUUCAUUUUUUUUAUGCUUUUUGGUCCAUCUAUUAAUAAAAAUGAACCCGUUACAGAGUCACCAUCAUGUCUCUUCUCACCACCCUCUGAGUCUGCAUUAGCCAGUCAACUAGCCCUUUCAGCGUCAUGUGACCAGCGCGCCCCAUGCAGCUUGGCUGGUGUCGUUUCACAUGACCCAGGCAUGGCCAGUCGUCAGGUUGCACCGCCCUUUGGUUCCCGAGCAUGCUGUUUUCUCUCAGCCUUCUCUCCAACCUUAACCAAAUCGGCAGCAGCCACCUCGACCGCCCACACAUUCCCGGCCAAUCAGCUCAGCUGUUUAUUUACCAAAUGUCUUCACAACAACUACAGCAGCAGCCUUCGGCUAACAAAAAAGCAGGAAAAAUCCACAACACCCCCUUCGCCAACCAACUAAAUACAACGCAACAUCUGGCAAAACCUUUUCAGCAAAUUCUUCUUGGCAGUCAGUCCGGCAGCCUCACCUCACCAUUUCUAGCUUGUUGAAACCAAAAACUAAUCACCACGAAGGAGAAGCUUUUCGCGUAGCCGCAGCAGGUCCCUCUCCAGAGACAGAAGAAGAGAGAGAUCGCUCUCACGGGAGAGGAACCACAAGCCUUCUCGCUCCUUCUCCAGGUCUCGCAGUCGCUCCAGGUCAAAUGAGAGGAAAUAGGACUUUCAGAAGGAGCUGUGUACAGGAAGUCAUUAGAUCUGAGGACAGGAGGAGUAUGUACAGAACAUUGUUUUGUUUUGAAACUUCAUAAAGCUUGGCGCAUUUUUAAAAUGUUUUAGCUGUUGAACUUGCUUUGUUCCUUGUAUCUUGUAACAGGUGACAAAUGUAAAGAUGUGAAUCUGUAUAUGGUUCUAAGCAGAUCAUAUGAUUUGUAAUAUUAAUUACUUUUCAAUGUACCCUUAUACAUAGUUUUUGUUUGUGUGUUGAAUGGUAAUCAGUUUGUCUUGCAUAGAUAGAAGAAUGUUUCUGGUCCUAUUCUGGAGUGUCUUUUGUUGGAGUUCAGCUUUUGGAAGGAAGUUUGCAAUGAAGGUAGUAGUUAAUUGCAAGAAUAUGGCCAUAAAUAAUGUUCAGUCUAUGCAGAACAAGAAGUAGAUGUUUCAUAGUGCAGUUCUC